UCACAACCUGCAGGGAAAAAGACAGAUUUUGCUUCAAACAGGAAUAGAUAUACCACAGGCCAGGCCCACUGAAGAAGUUAAAAAAAUAACAAUUACCCUCAUCUCACAUCCAGAAUUGUCAAUCAACUACUUCUGCACCAAGUUUCCUAUGAACAUGGAAAUGAAAGAAAAUGAAAGGACUUCAAUCUGCCUAACCAAUUUCAUUACAUGGCCAGUAUCUAGAGUGAGGAUCAAAUGAGCCAGGAACAUGCUGUUGUUGCGAGACAAGAUAGUGUGGAAAGGUUUUUAAACUUUACCAUCAUAUUUUUUUGACUUAACAUUUGCUGUUGCCUUGUAGUAAACCACUUUAACGAAUAGAAAAAAAAAAUCUGAACAACUGGCAGAUUUACCUUACCAACUCGUAUUUUUCCUUUCAGCAAUCCACUGUCCAAGUGCUGUUGCCCGGGUGCUAAAACGUCUGGAAUCACUAACAGAUGCCAUAGACAAGGCACAUAAACGAAUGUCAAGAGUCCUUCUCCUCACUGUAGAAGUUGGACUGACGUCCAUUAACGAUUUCGUCUGUUGCGGUCUCGGUCUGUUGUUUUGUGUGGUGCUGCGGUGGUGGCUUUUUUUGGUGAAGACUAAAGACGAGAUAUAAAUUUGGAGGGGAGACUAUUACGAAAAAAUGUGAAAGGUGCAUGAAGCCAGUACUGUCAACUAUUGUGUUGGUAUCCUACAGAAUAUGUCAUCCAAAUGACAGAGAGUGGAUUCAUCACUAUUAUCGGCUGAAUCAUUCUAUGAGACUUGCCAGAUUGCAACCCAAGCAUGGACCAAUUUCUUAUUCCAUCUUCUAGAGAACCUUACAUAACCGAUUGGUGGUUUAGUGUGUUUUAGGUUUCUAAUGUAGCAUGAUAGACUUUAUGAGAAGUCAUGUUGUUUGAAGAAAAAGGACUAUACAGUCGACAAGGUUCUUUGGUAACCCGUUGGCUGCUACCCUUGAAUCUCCCUGUUUACUUCCUUACACGGGUCCACUUGAUUUGAGGGUAAUCCUUCGCUACUGAUCACACCCACGCUGGUGAAAACCGACGAGAGAAUG